rnacentral:tRNA from 1 species
CAGUGGCUCAGCUGGAUAGAGCGUCGGACUACGAAUCCGAAGGUCGGGGGUUCAAAUCCCUCCUGGUG